rnacentral:piRNA from 1 species
UCAGAUGGCUGUACGUUUUACCACAAGGUC